rnacentral:lncRNA from 1 species
UUAUUAUUAACUCAAUCGUUUAUAAACAUCUAAAACAUCCAACCAGAACAACAAAAAUAGGAUCACGAGAACACUUCUAGGCAUAAUAAACACUGACAAUACAACGAACAUCGUUAACAACAUAUCGCAAAAAUAACAGACAUAGCUUUCUUAAAGGGCCUCGUUUUCAUUUGCUUCAGUCUUGUCUCUCAUAGAAUAACUAUGAAGAUUUCUAGUAAAACUAGUAGUCGUGUCCAAGAAAUAAAGCACAAACGACAUGAUGAUGCAACACACAAACAUGGGUAUCGGUCCAAAGAUCCACAAAAAGAGCGGAAACGAGAAGUAAAAUGCUCUCAAACCGAUAGACCAAAACAGGCUUCCGCGGUUCAAGUUCCUAGCAACGUAGUUUAUCGGUUCUCUCCUGUCUAUGAAUGUAGGAACCGUGACCAAGAAGCUAACAUGAGCAUAGUAACGAAUUGACUGCACAUUGCAAAGAAAUGCAACAAGAAAACAGAGCAAGAUUGCAAAGUAUUUUACUGACGAUAAGAGUUGGGUAUUAUUUCCGUACAUCAAUUGUGAAGCUGCGGGGUUUGUAUUAGAAGCGCUGCUCACGAAAACGCUGAUUAUUGAACUCAGAGUGAUCGCGGUUGUGGCUAGAAGAGUGGAUGCCAUGAUGUUGUUGCGAAUAGUUUGCACUGCUAAUACGCCAUUCUUUAGCGGAUCCUCCAUCAUAGAGAAGACCCACUGAUGUCGAGUUUCUGAAUUGAGGCCAAUAACAGUUUGUCUUGGGUGUUUGAAAACGGUGUAAACAAGCCAAAUAUGGUAGGCGAUCAUAAUCCCUAAACCCAAAGGCACCAGAACGUAGUCAACAUCUUUCUCCUCCAUCUCUUCUCGAUUCUCCAACCACAAAAAUCAGCAAGAACAUGAAACCCUCUGUCUAGAAUCUCAUGCUUUUGCUUUUCCUCUUUCUUUUCAACUUUUUAUAAAUCAUGAGUUAGAAGUUAGAAAUUCUGAAUUCUGAUUUUCUCCUUUUCAAGUCAUAAAACGCCUUAUUACCUUUUUAUUAGUCAAUAAGUUAUAAGUAGCUUUAAUAACCUAACCCAAACACCCACUUUAUUACACCCAGGGGCGGAGUGUGGGUCACGGUCUUCGGACCCCAAUGUUUUUAAAAAAAAUAGUAGAUUCGGUAUAAAUUGUAUAAGAACCCCAUAAAUACAAUUAAGUGGAUACCAUAGAAGAAAAAAAAACUUGAUGUAGUGGUAAAUCCCUCUCUCUACCGACAAGAGGUCAUAAGUUCAAUCCUUGUAUAGCUUGUUUUUCCUGUUUUUUUUUUUUUAAAUCUAGCUCAAACCUCGCUAUCACCCGAUCCGAACGAGGACCGAUCCAAAAAUUUUAACGUUUUGUUAUAAAUAUUUUGAAAACCGAAAAAAAUGGACCUCAUUGAAAAAAAAAUCAUGGGUCCGCUACUAAUUACACCAAUGUGGUAGUCACAUAGACAACAUCCGAGUUUGAGAUGAAAUGUCUUGGAUUCAAGUCCACUAAGAUCAUGUGUAGUGGU